ensembl:lncRNA
UUAAUUGAAUAUAUAUUAGUGCUGUCAAAUGGUUAAUCGCAUCCAAAAUAAGUUUUUGUUUAAGUAAUAUAUUUAUGUGCACUUUGUUUAUUUGUUAUGUAUACAUAAAUACAAACACAUGCAUGUACAUAUUUAAAAAAAAAAAAAAAAGUUUAUAAAUUAAAUAUAUUUAUAUAAAACAUAAAAAUAUAAAUGUAUACAUGUAAAUAUUUUCAAAAUAUAUACUGACUGUGUGUAUUUAUAUAUAUAUGUAAUAAAUAAAUAUUGCACAUUUUAGAUUAUAUAAUCUGAUUAUUUUUUGAUCUAGAAAGAAAAAAUCUAGAACUGGAAAAAAUGCUGAAGAUCUGUAUCUUUGGUUUGCUUCCCAACUGACAUCUGCUUAUUGGAAUGUGUGAGGGACAAAAACAUUCUAAUCCCUGUAAAUUCAUCUGACAGUCAUGCUUUCCUUCCCAUGUAGGUCAAGCCACGGAACCUGAAAGCAGAUGAUUCAGAGAAAAUGAUUUAACUCUUUAGAAUCUCACAAACACUCCUGAGGGUAAGACUCAUACACCGUCACCACACAUCUGCUUCUUUCAGUUGGAAAGCUUUGAAUUUCUUUUACUAAUAAUUUUUUGGUCAUUGAAGUCCAUCUGCACUUGCUGUCAGUCAUUCUAAUAGUAUUGUAUGGGCCAGUCUAGAUGUUACAUUGGAUGUCUUAUUGCCCCUUAGAUGAAACUGGACGAAAUUAAAUGUGCCUAUGAGGUUGUAGACAGUGCUGGUGCAGAGCAAGCAAGAAUUGGAAUCACACGUAGCACAAGGAGUUGACAUCAACAGUACUGAACUGAGAACAGGGAACACUAUUUAUCCACAUGACAAGACGAGGGGAUGACGAGACACACCUGGGAUCAAUAGAAAUAAACGGGGAACA